rnacentral:rRNA from 1 species
AGAAUCAACGCUGGCGGCGUGCCUAACACAUGCAAGUCGAACGAGAAAGUGGUAGCAAUACCAUGAGUAAAGUGGCGCAAGGGUGAGUAACACGUGACUAACCUACCCUUGAGUGGGGGAUAACUGAGGGAAACCUUAGCUAAUACCGCAUAAUACCCACGGGUCAAAGGAGCAAUUCGCUCGAGGAGGGGGUCGCGGCCGAUUAGUUAGUUGGCGGGGUAAUGGCCCACCAAGACGAUGAUCGGUA